rnacentral:misc_RNA from 1 species
UGAUCUGGACCAAGAUGGA